rfam:Drosophila persimilis strain MSH-3 cont1.001850, whole genome shotgun sequence.
GCCUCUUUAGCUCAGUGGCAGAGCACUGGUCUUGUAAACCAGGGGCCGUGAGUUCAAUUCUCACAAGAGGCA